UACGUAGGGUGCGAGCGUUAAUCGGAAUUACUGGGCGUAAAGCGUGCGCAGGCGGUGAUGUAAGACAGGUGUGAAAUCCCCGGGCUUAACCUGGGAACUGCAUCCGAUACUGGAUGGCUUGAAUCCGGGAGAGGGAUGCAGAAUUCCAGGUGUAGCGGUGAAAUGCGUAGGAUAUCUGGAGGAAUACCGGUGGCGAAGGCGGCAUCCUGGACCGGCAUUGACGCUGAUGAGCGAAAGCUAGGGGAGCAAACGGGG
rnacentral:rRNA from 1 species